UUUUACCUACUCCCCCUCCCUUUUUUCCGAGAUCAACGAGUCAUGUGAUGAAGUGCGUACCUGGAGAAAAAAGAGAGAGAGUCGGUGCAGGUCUUGAGAGCUAUUAGGGAGGUGGAGGGGUAAUUAAAGAGAAUGGAGUGGGGUGUGCACCGGGAGUGGAGAGAGAGAGAGAGAAGAGGGGUCUAGACUUAGUGCGGUAAGAGUUAGAGAGCGAGGACAUGAGUGAAGGAGGUGGCGUGGUGCGGCUAGGAGGAGAGUGUACUCAGCGUGGUCGCGGUAGCUAAACCUCGUGGCCGACGAGAGAUGGAGGUCUAGACCACUCCGGUGGACUGCUACUCCUUUUACUGAGCCCGGGGAUAGGAGAAGACGCUCGUUGCUUCUGUCACCACUCGGGGUACGGAGCUGACUCCUCUGCUGCUGUUGCUUCUGUCCCCGACGUCCGCGGGACGUGCGUCGCUGUUGCCGCUGCCGACCGUACUGUCGCUGACGCUGCCUGAUGUAGUGGGAGGUUCUCUUCCUCGAGCGAGCCGUCGUCGGAGGUAACCGUCAACAAGUAGGAGAGUAACUAACCUAGGUCAGAAGACUCUUAAUCAUAAGUUAGACGACGUCUAGAAAACUCUUUGUGUUUUCUCCUAGACUACAUUAUGUUUUCCUCGUACUAGGUAAAAUAAGGUCUCCAUGCAAGUACACAAUAGUCAACCCCAGGUCGAAAGUAAGACUGCUGUUGAAGAGGUAGAGGGGUUGUUGUUUGUCAUAAAGAACACCUAUUCACCGCCUCCCGCCUCCGGUGCCAUGUGUACUACAAGAACCAGUGGCUGGUAGGAGAUCCACAACUGGACUUCAUUAACAAAAAACAUAGAUAGGAUGUACUAAAGACGUUCGCCAAAGGAAAACGGUAAAAAACACUGGACACCUUCACUACUUACAAUAUAGAUGGCUCGUCAUCGUAGCUACCGGUUCCCACGUCGCGUUUCUACUGUCGCCGGCUACCGCCAGACUGGAGGACAUUAGUUCGUGUACAGCACUGCGUUUGAACUUGCACAAGUGUAUCGGUGGCGACUACGUAUAUGUACUUACGAAAUAGUACAUGACAUACUUACCUUGCUGAUAUCGUCCAAAGAAACGUGAAAACGUUUGUUCGGUAAAAACAAUGGUCACUAGUUUGUACAUGUAUGAAGAAUAAUGCACAUAUGCAUAUGAGAAAAAACCACUUAUUUAAGAAUACGCUCG
rnacentral:rRNA from 1 species